CCAAUUUUUUGAUCCCCCUUAUGAUUCAUCACCCCCAAACUCAAUCCCAGCCUUCCCUUUGUGGUAUGGUACCUUGCAGUCCAAUUUCAGAGAGAUCCAUACACUUGAACACAAGUUAUUGUCUGGAAACUAGAAAAAUGCUUGUUUUUUGGCCCCAAAUUCCUAAACGUUUAGGGCAAUUACCCCCAAACUCAAACCCAGCUUUCCCUUUGUGAUAUGGAACCUUGUGGUACAAUUUCAUAAAGAUCCAUACACUUACACACAAGUUAUUGUCCUGAAACUAGAAAAAUGCUUGAUUUUUUGCCCCUUAUUUGCCCCCAAUUCCUAAAAUUUUGAGGCAAUUACCCCCAAAAUCAAUCCCAGCCUUCCCUUUGUGGUAUGGUACCUUGCAGUACAAUUUCAGAGAGAUCCAUACACUUGAACACAAGUUAUUGUCUGGAAACUAGAAAAAUGCUUAUUUUUGGCCCCUUAUUCCUAAACGUUUUGGGUAAUUACCCCCAAACUCAAUUCCAGCUUUCCCUUUGUGAUAUGGAACCUUGUAGUAAAAUUUCAGAAAGAUCCAUACACUUACACACAAGUUAUUGUCAUGAAACUAGAAAAAUGCUUGUUUUUUGCCCCUUUUUUGGCCCUUAAUUCCUAAAAUUUUGAGGCAAUUACCCCCAAAAUCAAUCCCAGCAUUCCCUUUGUGAUAUGGAACCUUGUGGUACAAUGUCAGAGAGAUCUAUACACUAACACACAAGUUAUGUCUGGAAGUUACAAAAAUGCUUAUUUUUGGCCCCCAAUUCCUUAACUGUUGGUACCAUAACCCCCAAAAUCAAUCCCAACCUUCCUUUUGUGGUAUUGAACCUUAUGGUAAAAUUUCAUAGAGAUCCUUUCACUGAAAUUAAAGUUAGAGUGCGAAAACCAAUGUGUCUUCGGACGACGACGCCAACGACGCCAACGUCAUACCAAUAUACGACCUAAAAAUUUUUUUUGCGGUCGUAUAAAAAUUGCUCAUAAGCUACAACUCAACAUUAUCAAGCUGUAGUACUUAAAAGUCAUUCCCUUAGUUUUCUACCCAAGGUAUUUAGGACGGACAGACAGAGUCAAGCGGUUUCUAGACCUGCUCUCACUGUUGGU